rnacentral:rRNA from 1 species
AGUCGUAACAAGGUUUCCGUAGGUGAACCUGCGGAAGGAUCAUUAACGAGAGAGGGUCCUCCGGGGCCCGACCCUCCCACCCUGUGUGUAUGUACCUCUGUUGCUUCGGCGGGCCCGCAGGUCCCACCUGGGAUUCACCACCGGCCUCGGCCGGUCCGCGCCCGCCAGAGGCCCCAUCACACCCGAUUUUGCCAGUGGAGUCUGAGUGCAACGCAAUGACUAAAACUUUCAACAACGGAUCUCUUGGUUCUGGCAUCGAUGAAGAACGCAGCGAAAUGCGAUAAGCAAUGUGAAUUGCAGAAUUCAGUGAAUCAUCGAAUCUUUGAACGCACAUUGCGCCCCCCGGCAUUCCGGGGGGCAUGCCUGUUCGAGCGUCAUUACACCCCUCAAGCCUUGCUUGGUCUUGGGCCCCGCCCUCAGGGGGCGAGCUCAAAAGUCAGUGGCGGUGCCGUCGGGCUUCAAGCGUAGUACAACCUAUCCCGCUUUGGAAGACCCGGGGGUUCUGGCCAGUCAACACCCGACACAUCACGGUUGACCUCGGAUCAGGUAGGGAUACCCGCUGAACUUAAGCAUAUCAAUAAGCGGAGGAAAAGAAACCAACAGGGAUUGCCUCAGUAACGGCGAGUGAAGCGGCAACAGCUCAAAUUUGAAAUCUGACCCUCGGGUCCGAGUUGUAAUUUGUAGAGGGAGUUUCGGGCGCGGCGCUGGCCUAAGUUCCUUGGAACAGGGCGUCAUAGAGGGUGAGAAUCCCGUAUGUGGCCGGCGACCAAGCCCAUGUGGAGCCCCUUCGACGAGUCGAGUUGUUUGGGAAUGCAGCUCAAAACGGGUGGUAAAUUCCAUCUAAAGCUAAAUACCGGCCAGAGACCGAUAGCGCACAAGUAGAGUGAUCGAAAGAUGAAAAGCACUUUGGAAAGAGAGUUAAACAGUACGUGAAAUUGUUGAAAGGGAAGCGCUUGCGGCCAGACUUGCCCGGGGGCGAUCAGCCUCCCUUUGGGGUGGUGCACUCGCCCACGGUCAGGCCAGCAUCGGUUUCGGCGGCCGGACAAAGGCUUCGGGAACGUGGCUCCCUCCGGGGAGUGUUACAGCCCGGGGUGCAAUGCGGCCAGCCGGGACCGAGGACCGCGCUUCGGCUAGGAUGCUGGCGUAAUGGCCGUAAGCGACC